UAAUCACCAAACAGUAAGCUUUCCUCCCACAUCCCAAAGACGUGCGGGUUUGAAAGUUAAUUGGCCACUGUAAAUUGCCUAGUGUGUAGAGUGAAUGCAAAAGUGAAAUAACAUACAACUAGUGUACAUGGACUCGGUGG